UCGAGCGAGCUUGCCUAGAUGAAUUUGGUGCUUGCACCAGAUGAAACUAGAUACAAGCGAGCGGCGGACGGGUGAGUAACACGUGGGUAACCUGCCCAAGAGACUGGGAUAACACCUGGAAACAGAUGCUAAUACCGGAUAACAACACUAGACGCAUGUCUAGAGUUUAAAAGAUGGUUCUGCUAUCACUCUUGGAUGGACCUGCGGUGCAUUAGCUAGUUGGUAAGGUAACGGCUUACCAAGGCAAUGAUGCAUAGCCGAGUUGAGAGACUGAUCGGCCACAUUGGGACUGAGACACGGCCCAAACUCCUACGGGAGGCAGCAGUAGGGAAUCUUCCACAAUGGACGCAAGUCUGAUGGAGCAACGCCGCGUGAGUGAAGAAGGGUUUCGGCUCGUAAAGCUCUGUUGGUAGUGAAGAAAGAUAGAGGUAGUAACUGGCCUUUAUUUGACGGUAAUUACUUAGAAAGUCACGGCUAACUACGUGCCAGCAGCCGCGGUAAUACGUAGGUGGCAAGCGUUGUCCGGAUUUAUUGGGCGUAAAGCGAGUGCAGGCGGUUCAAUAAGUCUGAUGUGAAAGCCUUCGGCUCAACCGGAGAAUUGCAUCAGAAACUGUUGAACUUGAGUGCAGAAGAGGAGAGUGGAACUCCAUGUGUAGCGGUGGAAUGCGUAGAUAUAUGGAAGAACACCAGUGGCGAAGGCGGCUCUCUGGUCUGCAGCUGACGCUGAGGCUCGAAAGCAUGGGUAGCGAACAGGAUUAGAUACCCUGGUAGUCCAUGCCGUAAACGAUGAGUGCU
rnacentral:rRNA from 1 species